UACGCAGGGGGCAAGCGUUGUCCGGAAUCAUUGGGCGUAAAGAGCGCGUAGGCGGUCCGGUAAGUCCGCUCUGAAAGUCCGGGGCUCAACCCCGGGAGGCGGGCGGAUACUGUCGGGCUAGAGUCCGGAAGAGGCGAGUGGAAUUCCUGGUGUAGCGGUGAAAUGCGCAGAUAUCAGGAGGAACACCAAUGGCGAAGGCAGCUCGCUGGGACGGUACUGACGCUGAGGCGCGAAAGCGUGGGGAGCAAACAGG
rnacentral:rRNA from 1 species